ACGGGAGGCAGCAGUGGGGAAUAUUGCACAAUGGGGGAAACCCUGAUGCAGCGACGCCGCGUGAGUGAAGAAGUAUUUCGGUAUGUAAAGCUCUAUCAGCAGGGAAGAUAAUGACGGUACCUGACUAAGAAGCCCCGGCUAACUACGUGCCAGCAGCCGCGGUAAUACGUAGGGGGCAAGCGUUAUCCGGAUUUACUGGGUGUAAGGGGUGCGUAGGUGGUAUGGCAAGUCAGAAGUGAAAACCCGGGGCUCAACCCCGUGGAUUGCUUUUGAAACUGUCAAACUAGAGUACCGGAGAGGUAAGCGGAAUUCCUAGUGUAGUGGUGAAAUGCGUAGAUAUUAGGAGGAACACCAGUGGCGAAGGCGGCUUACUGGACGGUAACUGACACUGAGGCACGAAAGCGUGGGGAGCAAACAGGAUUAGAUACCCUGGUA
rnacentral:rRNA from 1 species